rnacentral:rRNA from 1 species
AGUGAAUGCUGGCGGUAUGCUUAACACAUGCAAGUCGAACGAGUAGUUACUUCGGUAACGAGAGUGGCGGACGGGUGAGUAACGCGUAGGAAUCUGCCUCAUAGUGGGGGACAACGUGGGGAAACUCACGCUAAUACCGCAUACGCCCUACGGGGGAAAGCGGGGGACCUUCGGGCCUCGCGCUAUGAGAUGAGCCUGCGUAGGAUUAGCUAGUUGGUGGGGUAAAGGCCUACCAAGGCGACGAUCCUUAGCUGGUCUGAGAGGACGAUCAGCCACACUGGGACUGAGACACGGCCCAGACUCCUACGGGAGGCAGCAGUGGGGAAUAUUGGACAAUGGGCGCAAGCCUGAUCCAGCAAUACCGCGUGUGUGAAGAAGGCCUUAGGGUUGUAAAGCACUUUCAAUUGGGAGGAAAACCUACCGGUCAAUACCCGGUAGCUUGACAUUACCUUUAGAAGAAGCACCGGCUAACUCCGUGCCAGCCGCCGCCGUAACAC